rnacentral:rRNA from 1 species
CAUGCAAGUCGAACGGAGCUGAGAGGAGCUUGCUUUUCUUAGCUUAGUGGCGAACGGGUGAGUAACGCGUGAGUAACCUGCCCUGGAGUGGGGGACAACAGUUGGAAACGACUGCUAAUACCGCAUAAGCCCACGGCCCGGCAUCGGGCUGAGGGAAAAGGAUUUAUUCGCUUCAGGAUGGACUCGCGUCCAAUUAGCUAGUUGGUGAGGUAACGGCCCACCAAGGCGACGAUUGGUAGCCGGACUGAGAGGUUGAACGGCCACAUUGGGACUGAGACACGGCCCAGACUCCUACGGGAGGCAGCAGUGGGGGAUAUUGCACAAUGGGGGAAACCCUGGUGCAGCGACGCCGCGUGGAGGAAGAAGGUUUUCGGAUUGUAAACUCCUGUCGUUAGGGACGAUAAUGACGGUACCUAACAAGAAAGCACCGGCUAACUACGUGCCAGCAGCCGCGGUAAAACGUAGGGUGCAAGCGUUGUCCGGAAUUACUGGGUGUAAAGGGAGCGCAGGCGGACCGGCAAGUUGGAAGUGAAAACUAUGGGCUCAACCCAUAGAUUGCUUUCAAAACUGCUGGCCUUGAGUAGUGCAGAGGUAGGUGGAAUUCCCGGUGUAGCGGUGGAAUGCGUAGAUAUCGGGAGGAACACCAGUGGCGAAGGCGACCUACUGGGCACCAACUGACGCUGAGGCUCGAAAGCAUGGGUAGCAAACAGGAUUAGAUACCCUGGUAGUCCAUGCCGUAAACGAUGAUUACUAGGUGUUGGAGGAUUGACCCCUUCAGUGCCGCAGUUAACACAAUAAGUAAUCCACCUGGGG